rnacentral:lncRNA from 1 species
UGACUGAACCCCUUUUAGUUGGGGGGGGGGGCGUGGGUUGAAUUGGGUCGAUUUUUACACCAACCCAAACCCAACCCAACAUUGUCGGUUUGUUAGAAAUCCAACCCAAACCAUUUAUGCAUUGGUCGGGUUGGGUUGGGUUGGUCGGUUUGGGACAACUUGUUACACAAUGAUUAAAAUGGUGGUUUCAAUACCCAUUUCCAUGCUAGUAUGGUACCUUCCUGGAGCCAUAAUACACAUAAAAAUGAGAAACCAGAAUGUGGUAAAUAGUCCACAACUAAAAGUGAAAUUUCAGAGAAUAACCUUACCCCCAACUCUUCCUCAGCAAAAAACUAAAACAAUUACCCUGCACUAACUAAAGAACUCACAAUACUAUAGAGAUCCAAAAUCACAAACUUAAAAAUUACGAACCACUAAAGAGCUCCAAAAGUAGUUACAUCUGUUAUAGGAAAAAGCAUAUCAUUGUCCACAACCAUAGAAUAAACUGUAAGUAUUAUGCCUUAAGUUCAAUCAAUUUU